GAUGAACGCUGGCGGCGUGCCUAACACAUGCAAGUCGAACGAAGCAUAUUGGAAGGAGACUUCGGUCAACGGAAGGUAUGACUUAGUGGCGGACGGGUGAGUAACGCGUGAGCAACCUGCCUCAGAGAGGGGGACAACAGCUGGAAACGGCUGCUAAUACCGCAUGACACUUACUAAAGGCAUCUUUGGUAAGUCAAAGAUUUAUCGCUCUGAGAUGGGCUCGCGUCUGAUUAGAUAGUUGGUAGGGUAAUGGCCUACCAAGUCGACGAUCAGUAGCCGGACUGAGAGGUUGAACGGCCACAUUGGGACUGAGAUACGGCCCAGACUCC
rnacentral:rRNA from 1 species